rnacentral:rRNA from 1 species
GAGCGGAUGAAAGGAGCUUGCUCCUGGAUUCAGUGGCGGACGGGUGAGUAAUGCCUAGGAAUCUGCCUGGUAGUGGGGGACAACGUUUCGAAAGGAACGCUAAUACCGCAUACGUCCUACGGGAGAAAGCAGGGGACCUUCGGGCCUUGCGCUAUCAGAUGAGCCUAGGUCGGAUUAGCUAGUUGGUGAGGUAAUGGCUCACCAAGGCGACGAUCCGUAACUGGUCUGAGAGGAUGAUCAGUCACACUGGAACUGAGACACGGUCCAGACUCCUACGGGAGGCAGCAGUGGGGAAUAUUGGACAAUGGGCGAAAGCCUGAUCCAGCCAUGCCGCGUGUGUGAAGAAGGUCUUCGGAUUGUAAAGCACUUUAAGUUGGGAGGAAGGGUUGUAGAUUAAUACUCUGCAAUUUUGACGUUACCGACAGAAUAAGCACCGGCUAACUCUGUGCCAGCAGCCGCGGUAAUACAGAGGGUGCAAGCGUUAAUCGGAAUUACUGGGCGUAAAGCGCGCGUAGGUGGUUCGUUAAGUUGGAUGUGAAAUCCCCGGGCUCAACCUGGGAACUGCAUUCAAAACUGUCGAGCUGGAGUAUGGUAGAGGGUGGUGGAAUUUCCUGUGUUGCGGUGAAAUGCGUAGAUAUAGGAAGGAACACCAGUGGCGAAGGCGACCACCUGGACUGAUACUGACACUGAGGUGCGAAAGCGUGGGGAGCAAACAGGAUUAGAUACCCUGGUAGUCCACGCCGUAAACGAUGUCAACUAGCCGUUGGGAGCCUUGAGCUCUUAGUGGCGCAGCUAACGCAUUAAGUUGACCGCCUGGGGAGUACGGCCGCAAGGUUAAAACUCAAAUGAAUUGACGGGGGCCCGCACAAGCGGUGGAGCAUGUGGUUUAAUUCGAUGCAACGCGAAGAACCUUACCUGGCCUUGACAUCCACGGAAUUCGGCAGAGAUGCCUUAGUGCCUUCGGGAACCGUGAGACAGGUGCUGCAUGGCUGUCGUCAGCUCGUGUUGUGAAAUG